GUGCUCACUUUGGCAGAACACAUACUAAAAUUGGAAUGAUACAGAGAAGAUUAGCAUGACCCCUACACAAGGAUGACAUGCAAAUUCAAGAAGCAUUCCAUAUUUUA